rnacentral:rRNA from 1 species
GACGAACGCUGGCGGCGUGCUUAACACAUGCAAGUCGAACGAAGUGGCGAACGGGUGAGUAACGCGUAAUCAACCUGCCCUUCAGAGGGGGACAACAGGUGGAAACGACUGCUAAUACCGCAUACGGAAGGAGGGGAUGGCGUCUGAUUAGCUAGUUGGAUGGGUAACGGCCCACCAAGGCGAUGAUCAGUAGCCGGUCUGAGGAGGUGAACGGCCAAAUUGGGACUGAGACACGGCCCAGACUUCUACGGGAGGCAGCAGUGGGGAAUCUUCCGAAAUGGAGGACAGUCUGACGGAGCAACGGCGCGUGAGUGAUGACGGCCUUCGGGUUGGAAAGCUCUGUUAAUCGGGACGCGGUACCGGCAUAGAAAGCCACGGCUAACUACGUGCCAGCAGCCGCGGUAAUAC